AUGUCACAGGAUCACUACCAGUCCUGUGUAUUGCAAAGAUUAUUCAAUCAAAUUUACAUAACAGAUUUUAGCCCACUGGAAUCAAUUCCAGAGAUUAUUUUCUUACUGCUUCAGCCCUAUAGCAAGAUCAGACACCUUCUGGGAACAGAUGAGGUCUUGAAGCACAACCAACAGGAGCUGAAAGAUAGUGAGGCCAGCUAGAGAAAUAGACACUCUCCUGGGAAAUCACACAAGGGCUUAAUCUUGGGACACCAGGAAGAAAAGUACAAACAAGUGCUGCCUGAGAUGAAUAACCAGGACUCUCCAGCUGAAGCGAAUGACAACUCAUAUCCUCUGUGGGUCAUCACAGCAUGUGGCCUAUAACAAACACCAAGCCAAAAUGUCAGUAUUUAUGUUAAUUAUGCUAUACUACAUGUAUAGCACAGAAUAGCUGGAAGUGCCUCAGCUGAUGAUGACAGCAAUCUCAUAGCAGUCCUUGCACAGUCUAGCCUGGUAUGUUAAGGCCAGAUUUUCUAUCUUCUCAAAUCUUCACCACACUUCCUUAUUGCCUGUGUAAUGCUGAGCUGUACUGAUCUUUGGCAUUGCAAACUGCAUAACAAAAAUGUGAAAGAAAGCUUUAAGAAGCUCUUUCACCUCUUACUCUCCAAAAAAAAAAAAAAAAAAAAAAAAAAGAAAAUGCAUUUCAGGCUUGGUUCACAGGGCAGACAUGCAGAUAGACAUACCUGAAACUGAAACGCCCUUUGGGGCAGAAUGUCAGACACUGUAGCAUGCAGAGCUACAAACAUGGUUCUCAUGUAGUAAAUUCCUUACUGGUGUAAGCAACUGUUUGGGAAAACAUGACUAUGCAGACUCACAUAAACAGCACCUCAGAUAAAGUUCCUGAACAAAAGAGACCAUUCUUGGUAUCUUUUUGUGCACCAUAGUGUCAUACUGCUUUGCAUUGACUGGAACUCAUGUGAAAGAGAAGGUGCUGAAAAUUUCCACCUUCAAUGCAACAGAAUUUAGACCUAUGUAAACUCGUAAAAAUAGAUUUGUCAUUAGAACAGUAGGGAAAGCCAUGCACAGUGUAAUCUGAGCCUCUCCAAGUAGAGUGUAUAUCACAGAUAGUAACUAAUAGUAAUAGCUCCAGUCCUCCGACUGUUCAAGCGCUGCCUACUUAAAUAGUAUUUCAGAAGAGUAAACAGCCAUAUGCAUCAGUUGGCUACGUUUCCUAACUUUGUUGUAUUACACCUCAUUGAGAAACUGAGGCACAGAAUAAGAAAGAUUAAUUUCCCAUUCAAUUUCCUUCAGGUUACUCAAGAUUCUUGAUGUAAAUGGCUAGAAAUCAUACCUAUACUAUUUUUUUUAAUUGCCUCAUUUUUAAUGGAAAAUAUUUAGUUGAAAAUAAUGUGCAUAUCUGCCUGACUUUUUAUGAAGGCUGUCUGCAUCUCUAGUGCUUUCAUGAAGUUUAUCUAAAACAUUUUCACAAGUAAAACCAUAUAUAAAAAAAAAACCUGACAUGUACCUGACCUCAUAAUGAAAGCUAUUAUAACAUCUGUUCAUCCUAAAGCUUUCAUUUUAUGUCUUUUUCAUAUGCUGGUAAAAUUAAGAUAGGCAUUAUACAACUCUCUGAGGUAACCAAGUCCCAAAUCAUUUAGGAAUGAGACCCUCGCUUUAAUUCUAGAUACCAGCAGCAGAAAUAUGUACUGUUAGAGUUUUAUACGCUAAAAACAUCAUCCAGCAAGAAACUAACAUGCAGCACACACACAGAAUUACUACAAUUAGCAAAUAACUGCACUGGAAAAGUAUACACCCCUACUAUGAAACAGCUUUAAUUUCCAGAUGGUCUUAUUAAGAUAUAGCCUCAAGUAUUGCAGAUUACAUCUCUGUAGUCUUAGGACCUAAUCCUCAACUAGCACCAAGUCCCAUUAGGAUAUUGCUCUUUCUAUAUAAAAUGAUUUUAAAGGAAGCAGAAUCUUACAGAUUUAAUUUCUACUUAAAGAAAUAUCAACCUUUGAAGUCCUGUCUGCCCGCUACUGUUGCAUAUGGGAAAAAAAUGGUGCCAGGAUAUAUCCAAAUGUUGUGCCUAUAAUGCACGUGUCUGUACAGACAGACAGGCUACUACUUCAAGUACCACGUACUUACAUUAUACAUUGUCAUAGCCAACAAUGGUUCACAAGAGGAAAAUCCUGCUUGAGUAACUUAAUCUCAUUUUAUGACAGGGUUACACAUCUAGCUGACCAAGAGAAGUCAGUUGAUAUAAUCUUUUAUGAUUAAGCAAAGCUUUCGGUACCCUUUCUCACCGUGUCCUUCCGGACUAAGUGUUAAGCAUAUAGCUCCACAAAUAUGUAACAUGAUGGGUGAUGUAUGAAAAUGAUGGCAAAUAGAUUGGGCUCAGAGGGUGUGAUGUUUUCACACUGGUGUCUAGCUCCUCAAAAGAACAGGGAGAAACUACAGCAAGAACUGUUUCAGGGGUUGAAAUAAACACAGGAAAAUUACUAACUGCCCA
rnacentral:lncRNA from 1 species